CGUAUAGGUUUCUGGUUUUCUUUUUUCUCUCCCCACCCACAAACCAACCAGUGCGCCGCCUUUUCCUGCGAUGGAGCAAUGGACGGCCCAGGCGACGUGCGUCCCGGUGGCGGCGAACUCGGCGCGGAGCAGGAGCGUGUAGGGGACGGCGACCUUGGGGAUGGGGCAGGCGCGUGCCCGCGGCGGCAACAGCGGGGCAAACGCGGGCCGGCAGCAGCGACCACGGGUCGGGACAGGAGCGUGCCCGGGACUGCGCCCUUGGGGCGGAGAAGGCGCGGGCCUUGGACGGCCACCUUGGGGCGGUGGCGGCGCGGUCCUGGGGCGGAGCACGCAUGGGCCAGCGGCGGGAACGCUGACGGAGCAGGCAGGGGCCAGCGGCCACCACAUCGGGGUGGAGCAUGCAGGGGCCGGCGGCGUCCAUGUCUGGCGGAGUAGGCAGGGCCCGACGACGGAGGAAAACGGCAGUGGCCGGAUCAGGAAGAAGGCACGAGGUUGCAAUAUCGUUGCUUUCAUCGGUUCAUUCAGCUGCAUACUUCUGUGUGAGCCUGAACCUGGCUCAAGAAGAUUGAGGUGCAUGACAUGAAUUUGGAGAUUUAGCAGGGUCGAUGCUGGUAUUCAGGAUUUAAAUGACAUUUUGGUUCAUUUUUAGAGAUGCACGCCUGAACUUGGCAGAGCGAGACUAGGUAAGAUCUUCCGUGAAGGUGCUCAUGCAUUCAUUUGAUCCCAUCUGGAUAGUAUGCAUGUUACCGUGGAGCAACUCUGUGUAAACCAAAGCAUGAUUAGAAGAGCAGUUGUGCAAGCACGGAGAGCUUUUCGACAAGAUUGUCGCUAGAGGCAACUACAAGAUUGCGAUCAUGGUAGACCAGGGGUUUCGUGCUACCUUUUAUGGGUUUGCUGCAAGGGAGUCUUCUGCUACUCAUUCUUCUAUGGAUACGGAUGCUUGGAAGAGCACAAUUCUUUUUGAAGUAAGCACAUGUUAUCGGUCUUUUUGGAUCAACAAUCACCGGAGUGAAUUAAUUUUUCCAACAACAAUUGACAACUUAUGUACAAAUGUUGCUUGGUUGGUUCAUGCUGAAUGUGAUGCUGCCUCUACAUACAAGCGUGAGGGUGUCGAUGCAAGCAACAUGGAUGCUGAUGUGGGCUAACACGGUGGAGAUUAGGCACAAGAGCUUUCUAGUGAAUCUAAGAUCACGAGCAGGUAGUGCAUCACGGUGGAGGCUAUUCGAAGAAUACCGGCACAGGAACACUGCUCUUGCUGCUGGCGUCACCACUGCGUCCAUCUCUACAUAGGAUCGUAGUAGGUUCCAGGGGCCAGAGCACCUUUGCACCAAUUAGGUUCAAAUUCAUUUUGACUAAAGAACUUUUCUCUUGGUCUCAAAUAUCACUUACAUUUUAUAAAUUUCUUGCUCAUACUGUUGUAAGAGGUGAAGAAGCACUAUUCUGAAUUGUGGCUUCAGAAGAUGUCUAUGCCAGCAAGGUUGACAGAGGUCGUGUGUGUGGCUGCAGCAACCACAUCUCCGUUAUAUGCUAUUCCUUUUGCA